rnacentral:rRNA from 2 species
GUCGUGAAGAGGGAAACAACCCAGACCGCCAGCUAAGGUCCCAAAGUCAUGGUUAAGUGGGAAACGAUGUGGGAAGGCCCAGACAGCCAGGAUGUUGGCUUAGAAGCAGCCAUCAUUUAAAGAAAGCGUAAUAGCUCACUGGUCGAGUCGGCCUGCGCGGAAGAUGUAACGGGGCUAAACCAUGCACCGAAGCUGCGGCAGCGACGCUUAUGCGUUGUUGGGUAGGGGAGCGUUCUGUAAGCCUGUGAAGGUGUGCUGUGAGGCAUGCUGGAGGUAUCAGAAGUGCGAAUGCUGACAUAAGUAACGAUAAAGCGGGUGAAAAGCCCGCUCGCCGGAAGACCAAGGGUUCCUGUCCAACGUUAAUCGGGGCAGGGUGAGUCGACCCCUAAGGCGAGGCCGAAAGGCGUAGUCGAUGGGAAACAGGUUAAUAUUCCUGUACUUGGUGUUACUGCGAAGGGGGGACGGAGAAGGCUAUGUUGGCCGGGCGACGGUUGUCCCGGUUUAAGCGUGUAGGCUGGUUUUCCAGGCAAAUCCGGAAAAUCAAGGCUGAGGCGUGAUGACGAGGCACUACGGUGCUGAAGCAACAAAUGCCCUGCUUCCAGGAAAAGCCUCUAAGCAUCAGGUAACAUCAAAUCGUACCCCAAACCGACACAGGUGGUCAGGUAGAGAAUACCAAGGCGCUUGAGAGAACUCGGGUGAAGGAACUAGGCAAAAUGGUGCCGUAACUUCGGGAGAAGGCACGCUGAUAUGUAGGUGAAGUCCCUCGCGGAUGGAGCUGAAAUCAGUCGAAGAUACCAGCUGGCUGCAACUGUUUAUUAAAAACACAGCACUGUGCAAACACGAAAGUGGACGUAUACGGUGUGACGCCUGCCCGGUGCCGGAAGGUUAAUUGAUGGGGUCAGCGCAAGCGAAGCUCUUGAUCGAAGCCCCGGUAAACGGCGGCCGUAACUAUAACGGUCCUAAGGUAGCGAAAUUCCUUGUCGGGUAAGUUCCGACCUGCACGAAUGGCGUAAUGAUGGCCAGGCUGUCUCCACCCGAGACUCAGUGAAAUUGAACUCGCUGUGAAGAUGCAGUGUACCCGCGGCAAGACGGAAAGACCCCGUGAACCUUUACUAUAGCUUGACACUGAACAUUGAGCCUUGAUGUGUAGGAUAGGUGGGAGGCUUAGAAGUGUGGACGCCAGUCUGCAUGGAGCCGACCUUGAAAUACCACCCUUUAAUGUUUGAUGUUCUAACGUUGACCCGUAAUCCGGGUUGCGGACAGUGUCUGGUGGGUAGUUUGACUGGGGCGGUCUCCUCCUAAAGAGUAACGGAGGAGCACGAAGGUUGGCUAAUCCUGGUCGGACAUCAGGAGGUUAGUGCAAUGGCAUAAGCCAGCUUGACUGCGAGCGUGACGGCGCGAGCAGGUGCGAAAGCAGGUCAUAGUGAUCCGGUGGUUCUGAAUGGAAGGGCCAUCGCUCAACGGAUAAAAGGUACUCCGGGGAUAACAGGCUGAUACCGCCCAAGAGUUCAUAUCGACGGCGGUGUUUGGCACCUCGAUGUCGGCUCAUCACAUCCUGGGGCUGAAGUAGGUCCCAAGGGUAUGGCUGUUCGCCAUUUAAAGUGGUACGCGAGCUGGGUUUAGAACGUCGUGAGACAGUUCGGUCCCUAUCUGCCGUGGGCGCUGGAGAACUGAGGGGGGCUGCUCCUAGUACGAGAGGACCGGAGUGGACGCAUCACUGGUGUUCGGGUUGUCAUGCCAAUGGCACUGCCCGGUAGCUAAAUGCGGAAGAGAUAAGUGCUGAAAGCAUCUAAGCACGAAACUUGCCCCGAGAUGAGUUCUCCCUGACUCCUUGAGAGUCCUGAAGGAACGUUGAAGACGACGACGUUGAUAGGCCGGGUGUGUAAGCGCAGCGAUGCGUUGAGCUAACCGGUACUAAUGAACCGUGAGGCUUAACCUUACAACGCCGAAGCUGUU